CACGUAGGGCGCAAGCGUUGUCCGGAAUUAUUGGGCGUAAAGAGCUCGUAGGCGGUUUGUCGCGUCGACUGUGAAAACCCGAGGCUUAACCUCGGGCCUGCAGUCGAUACGGGCAGACUAGAGUUCGGUAGGGGAGACUGGAAUUCCUGGUGUAGCGGUGAAAUGACGCAGAUAUCAGGAGGAACACCGGUGGCGAAGGCGGGUCUCUGGGCCGAUACUGACGCUGAGGAGCGAAAGCGUGGGGAGCGAACAGG
rnacentral:rRNA from 1 species